rnacentral:rRNA from 1 species
UACAGAGGUCUCAAGCGUUGUUCGGAUUUACUGGGCGUAAAGGGCGCGUAGGCGGCGUGGUAAGUCAGCUGUGAAAUCUCCGAGCUUAACUCGGAACGGUCAGCUGAUACUGCUGUGCUAGAGUACAGAAAGGGCAAUCGGAAUUCUUGGUGUAGCGGUGAAAUGCGUAGAUAUCAAGAGGAACACCUGAGGCGAAGGCGGGUUGCUAGGCUGAUACUGACGCUGAGGCGCGAAAGCUAGGGUAGCAAACGGG